rnacentral:rRNA from 1 species
GAAUUUUGCGCAAUGGGGGAAACCCUGACGCAGCAACGCCGCGUGGGUGAAGAAGGCCUUCGGGUUGUAAAGCCCUCUCAGCAGGGAAGAAAAAAAUGACGGUACCUGCAGAAGAAGCACCGGCUAACUCCGUGCCAGCAGCCGCGGUAAUACGGAGGGUGCGAGCGUUAUUCGGAUUUACUGGGCGUAAAGCGCAUGUAGGCGGUUCGGCAAGUCUGAUGUGAAAGCCCACGACUUAAUCGUGGACGUGCAUUGGAUACUGCCAGACUGGAGUACUGGAGAGGAGAGCGGAAUUCCUGGUGUAGAGGUGAAAUUCGUAGAUAUCAGGAGGAACAACAGAGGCGAAGGCGGCUCUCUGGACAGUAACUGACGCUGAGGUGCGAAAGCGUGGGGAGCAAACAGG